GUAAUUCUGACCAUUCCUUCUGCUGUCAAAUGUAGAUAGAGAAGCUUCUUCUGCCAUAGGGAUAUCAUACUUUUGUGUGUUUCUUAAUAGUAAGUAGUCUGUGGACUUCUGUAUGUCAGGAAGCUAGGGAGCUCUGAAAACUAUAGAACUGGGAGAUAUAUAGAACUGGGAGAUAAUCAGACCUCUACAGCCUUCAGAAUGACAACUCACCUCCUUUUGCUUUCUGAGUGCCUAGGAAUAUCCUAAUGUUUUGUUUUCUUUUGUACCAGAUUUUUUUUGUUCUUGUUUCUCAUCUGUAACCAAAUUCUAGUACCUGCUCUUUGGUCUAUUUCAAAAUCCCUCUGAACUCUUCCCCCAGCAUCAUAGGUUUUCACCUCAUAUAAUGUGUAUUUGGGGGCAACACUAUAUAAUUUACUGACUGCAUGCUAUUUACAUCUUUGUAAUAUUAGCCAAAAAAUGGUAACCUUUAGUGGCAGGGAGAUUAAAAAUUGCUUGUGGUUACCUGAAAAUUUUUUUCAUUAAAUUUUGUAGUCAUUGUUAUUCUGAAAAACUGACCCUUGUGCAAGAAAGGGUGCAUGACUUUAGAAUACCUGAAGGUUUCUUGACUCUUCCUGUUGUCCCUAUCCCUCUUCUACCUCUUGCUGCCAUUCCUUUUGACCUUUAUGCUUUUCUUGUUAAUCCUUAUUUGACUGUUAAAGAUGUCAGAUGAGAAAGACUUUAGUGAGCUUAAGCCUUUUUCAUUCUUAGGAUUUGCAUUGUCACUAGGCUCUGAAAGAUCUUUUAGACUCCAAAUCAAGUGAAGCUAAGAAGGUAGAGCUCCAGGAUCUUGGCUGGUACUCUGAGUA
rnacentral:lncRNA from 1 species